rnacentral:tRNA from 1 species
CAGGAUGUAGUUAAAAGAAAACCCUUCCCUUACACCGAAAAGAUCUCUGUGCAAAUCAGAGCAUUCUGA